rnacentral:rRNA from 1 species
UACAGAGGGUGCGAGCGUUAAUCGGAAUUACUGGGCGUAAAGGGCGCGUAGGCGGAUAAAUAAGUUAGAUGUGAAAUGUCUGGGCUUAACCUAGAGAUGGCAUUUAAUACUGUUAGUCUAGAGUGGAGUAGAGGGAAGUGGAAUUUCCGGUGUAGCGGUGAAAUGCGUAGAUAUCGGGAGGAACACCCGUGGCGAAAGCGGCGCACUGGACCACAACUGACGCUGAGGCGCGAAAGCCAGGGGAGCAAACGGG